UGCCUGGAGUGAAGAUUCUGCCCAUUGGUCAAGAGACCUCCCUCUCAGAUGCUGGCUCUGCCCCUGCCUUUGGGGGUCGACCCUUGUACUCGCAGGACCUUAGGUGACUCUGUAAGUAUAGUAAAACGCAGUUAAUCUGAUGUUAUCAUUCAAUCUUUUUUAAAAAGUGGAGCAACCAGUUGACAGGACUUUGUCAAAGGAAAAAUUUCUGCAUGUGCACACACAGAUCUUGGAAGUUUAUUCAUCUCAGCAGAGGCAGACAGGAGCAUCAACAGCCUUGGGGACAGCAGCAGUGGUGGCAGGGCAAAAUAAAACUUAUAUGAAACUGCAAUCACUAACGUGUGAAAAUGGAAGAUUCAGGAAGUGUUUCGUAUCUGAAAUAUGAACCAAGGUGGAAUCAACAUGCAUCCAAACAGGACUAAAUGUGCAAACCCAAGGCAAGCUUAAAACUAUAAAGUAAAUAUUUAGCAAUUUUGCAAAUUGGUCAUUUGGAGACUAGCUUUUAGCAAAUUCAUCAUAUGUUUAAUUGUUUUCCACCAAGGCUGCCUUGGGUGACUAUGUUCAAGCAACCAAAUUGCUCUC
rnacentral:antisense_RNA from 1 species